ensembl:lncRNA novel transcript
AAAACCCCACAGCUCCUAAGAAUUCUCUCACCUGCCUUCUGCCCUUAAGCUCCGGUAGAUUGCAAAUAACCUGCUUUCUUUCUGUUCCCGAGCUGCGUUCGGACCCGUCGGAUCGUAAAUCCCAUGUAAGGUACCUGCCGUCGGAAGAUUUGAUCUUUCUACUUGGACACCUAAUACCCACAGUCCUCCAGGUGGGUCCUAAGGAUCUUAGGAUCAACGAUGGGGGCCCUAAGCCAGGGGGGGAAGAGGGUCUGGCUCUCAGUCCCCGCCUCAAGGGGGGUGCCUCCCCCCUCUGCGAUGGGUGUCCUAAGAGCCAGUGGGGGAACAGGGGCAGGCUCUCAGUCCCUACCUCGCGGGGGGUGCCUCCCCCACCCUGCGAUGGGGGUAUUAACAGCCAGGGGCGGAAGAGGGGAUAGCUCUCAGUCCCCACCCUCGUGGGGGGUGCCACACCCUCCUGCGAUGGGGUUCCUAAGAGCCAGAGGGGGAAGAGGGACUGGCUCUCAGUCCCCGCCUCGUGGGGGGUCCCUCCCCCCUCUGCGAUGGGGGUCCUAAGAGCCAGUGGGGGAACAGAGGCUGGCUCUCAGUCCCUGCCUCGCGGGGGGGUGCCUCCCCCACCCUGCGAUGGGGGUACUAACAGCCAGGGGCGGAAGAGGGGAUAGCUCUCAGUCCCCACUCUCGUAGGGGGUGCCUCCCCACCUGCGAUGGGGGUACUAACAGCCAGGGGCGGAAGAGGGGAUAGCUCUCAGUCCCCACUGUCGUGGGGGGUGCCUCCCCCUCCUGUGAUGGGGUUCCUCAGAGCCGGGGGGGAAGAGGGACUGGCUCUCAGUAAUCCCACGUAAGGUACCUGCCGUCGGAAGAUUUGAACUUUCUACUUGGACACCUACCACCCGCAGUCCUCCAGGUGGGUCCUAAGGAUCUUAGGAUCAACGAUGUGGGUCCUAAGCUGGGGGGGGAAGAGGGUCUGGCUCUCAGUCCCCGCCUCGCGGGGGGUGCGUCCCCCCUCUGCGAUGGGGGUCCUAAGAGCCAGUGGGGGAACCAGGGGUUGGCUCUCAGUCCCUGCCUCGCGGAGGGUGCCUCCCCCCCCCUACGAUGGGGGUACCAACAGCCAGGUGCGGAAGAGAGGAUAGCUCUCAGUCCCCACCCUCGCGGGGUUGCCUCCCCCUCCUGCGAUGGGGGUCCUCAGAGCCAGGGGGGGAAGAGGGACUGGCUCUCAGUCCCUGCCUCGCGGGGGGUGCCUCCGCCCCCAGCGAUGGGGAUCCUAAGAGCAAAGGGGGGAAGAGGGGCUCGCUCUCAGUCCCCGCAUCACGAGGGGUGCCUCCCCCCCUGCGAUGGGGGUGCAAAGAGCCAGGGGAGGAAAGGGGGAGGUUCGCAGUCCCCGCCUCGCGGGGAUUGCCUCCCCCCCUGCGAUGGUGGUCCCAAGAGCCAGGGGGGGGAAGAGGGGUUGGCUCUGAGUCCCCGCCUCAUGGGGGAUGCCUCCCUCCACCCGCAAUGGGAGUCCCAAGAGUCAGGGGGGAAGAGGGGAUGGAUCUCAGCCAUCACAAAAUGGGGGGCCUUUAUGUUCAGGUUUUGCCCAAGAAUCAGCUUAUUUGCUUCUUGUACUAGCAGGGCAGUUGCUGCCAAGGCCCUCAAAUAGGGGGGCCAUUCUUUAGCAACCCUGUCUAGUUGUUUAGAGACGUAGGCUACCGGCCUCAGCCAGGGCCCCACAGUUUGGGUUAAAAGUCCAGCUGCCAUCUUUUCUCUCUCUGACGCAUACAAUGGAAAAGGCUUUGUCAGAUCGGGUAGCCCCAGGGCUGGGGCUGCCAGAAGAUUUUCUUAUAACUAAUGAAAGACUUGCUGUUGUCGGGAUCCCCAUUUCAAAGGUUCCGGGUCCCCGCCCCCUUUGUGACCUCAUACAAAGGCUUGGCUAAUACUGCAACGUUUGGGAUCCACAGCCUACAAAACCCCACAGCUCCUAAGAAUUCUCUCACCUGCCUUCUGCCCUUAAGCUCCGGUAGAUUGCAAAUAACCUGCUUUCUUUCUGUUCCUGAGCUGCGUUCGGACCCCUGUCGUAUUGUAAAUCCCACGCAAGGUACCUGCCGUCGGAAGAUUUGAGCUUUCUUCUUGAACACCUCAUACCCACAGUCCUCCAGACAGAAGGACAACAGGUACAAAGUCCUAAGGAUUAUAAAGGUAUGCUGCUUGCCAUCAUCUUAGUGACCAAGGCAGCGAAGCUGUUUCUGUACCUUGGAACAGUCUUCCCUGACAAGCCAGAGAACAGCGAUAAAGCCACCAGCCUUGGGAUCAGGACUGAAAAGGCAAGAGUGAUGGAGAUUUCUCCUGCGCUAAGCCAAGAGAAGGUUUCAGCACCUCAGACAGCUCCCACCGAAGUAGCGGCGCUCCCAGCUGCUUGCAGAUGUGGAAAAGGAAAGCCUCGGUUUGUCUUGAGGUUGUCAGCAGUUGCAAGACACGUAAUAAAAUGCAAUGUGUUCCU